GACGAACGCUGGCGGCGUGCUUAACACAUGCAAGUCGAACGGAAAGGCCCUGCUUUUGUGGGGUGCUCGAGUGGCGAACGGGUGAGUAACACGUGAGUAACCUGCCCUUGACUUUGGGAUAACUUCAGGAAACUGGGGCUAAUCCCGGAUAGGAGCUCCUGCUGCAUGGUGGGGGUUGGAAAGUUUCGGCGGUUGGGGAUGGACUCGCGGCUUAUCAGCUUGUUGGUGGGGUAGUGGCUUACCAAGGCUUUGACGGGUAGCCGGCCUGAGAGGGUGACCGGCCACAUGGGGACUGAGAGACGGCCCAGACUCCUACGGGAGGCAGCAGUGGGGAAUAUUGCACAAUGGGCGGAAGCCUGAUGCAGCAACGCCGCGUGCGGGAUGACGGCCUUCGGGUUGUAAACCGCUUUCGCCUGUGACGAAGCGUGAGUGACGGUAAUGGGUAAAGAAGCACCGGCUAACUACGUG
rnacentral:rRNA from 1 species